rnacentral:lncRNA from 1 species
AGGGCUAAAAAAGAGCCGUAUCUGUUGCUAUAUCUGCAGUCAAAUUACUCCAACGGCUUAUAGGUGACGCUAUCACAAAGGCUUAUCGUAUAUCUUACCUCGAGAUUGGAAUGCGACUUCGCUAAGAUGUCAAUAUGUCAAUAAUUCGCCGGAUACAUCUCUAGUAUGUUAGUGUAUGCCUUAAUUGUGGUUGUGGAUCAAUAUUGAUUUAAAAGUGAAGUCACGCAUCGUUUCCCGAAGAUAUUAUACUAUUACAAAAGCGGUGAGGCCGCCAAGCUAGCAGAGACCACGAAGUCGGGGAUAUGAUCGUUUGAAAGUGUUUAAAGUGGCUAAGUGAAGAUGAGACAGCAUCAAGCUGUCCCCGUCUGGUUGUCGGGUCAAUUUUAUAACCAACUACUUAUCGACUAUGAUUCGUUCAAGCGACUUUAUGGCAACUAAUUUAUACCAACAGUAUAAAUGAUAUAAAACUAUCAUAAAGUAUGAUUCCAUCACAAAGGUAUUAGACUACAGACUUGAAAAAGAUCAUGAAAAAAACUAGACGAAAAUUAAGCUGGCUGUCUUGCUUCGGAC